AGUGAACGCUGGCGAUAGGCCUAACACAUGCAAGUCGAACGGCAGCACAGUAAGAGCUUGCUCUUACGGGUGGCGAGUGGCGGACGGGUGAGGAAUACAUCGGAAUCUACUUUUUCGUGGGGGAUAACGUAGGAAAACUUACGCUAAUACCGCAUACGACCUACGGGUGAAAGCAGGGGAUCUUCGGACCUUGCGCGAUUGAAUGAGCCGAUGUCGGAUUAGCUAGUUGGCGGGGUAAAGGCCCACCAAGGCGACGAUCCGUAGCUGGUCUGAGAGGAUGAUCAGCCACACUGGAACUGAGACACGGUCCAGACUCCUACGGGAGGCAGCAGUGGGGAAUAUUGGACAAUGGGCGCAAGCCUGAUCCAGCCAUACCGCGUGGGUGAAGAAGGCCUUCGGGUUGUAAAGCCCUUUUGUUGGGAAAGAAAAGCAGCAGGUUAAUACCCCGCUGUUCUGACGGUACCCAAAGAAUAAGCACCGGCUAACUUCGUG
rnacentral:rRNA from 1 species